GCUCAGGUGGCGAAAUUGGUACACGCACUACCUUGAGGUGGUAGCGGCCGCAAGGCCAUGGAGGUUCAAGUCCUCUCCUGAGCA
rfam:Parcubacteria bacterium GW2011_GWA2_40_23 TT91_C0001, whole genome shotgun sequence.